UAGACGAAGGGAAGAAGAGGGAGGGGAUGGUGAGAGAGAAAAAGAGAGAGACACUGAGGCCUAAGAAGCAGGCAUUAGAGUGAGAGAAUAAGUGAUAAAUAGAGAGAAAUUAAAAGAAAAAAAGAAGCCUAUUUCGUUCAACUCGCUAGAAAAUUUCAUCGCAUUGUCUCUUCUGUUCAUGUUCUAGCAUUCUCUCUUCCAUUUCUCUUAUCAGAAGCGGUUUCCAAUGAGUCGUUUAGGGUUUAAAUCCGUGGUCUAUCACGGUGACCUUUGUUUGGGAGAACUGGACGCUAUUCCGGUGACAGACAAGACUUUCCAGUUCCCAAACAACGAGAUACGAAUCCACCGCAUCUCGCAAAGUGGGCGUUGCCCUCCUCUUUCAAUUCUGCAAACUAUUUCUUCGUUUUCCGUUCGCUUUAAGCUUGAAUCUUCUUCUCCACACGAGCAGUCCCAUUUGAUCAACCUUCACGCUGUUUGCUUCCAUGAAUUCAAGACGGCAGUGGUUUUGAUUGGAGAUGAGGAGAUACACUUAGUGGCAAUGCCGAGUAAGCUGAAGAAGUUUCCGUGCUUUUGGUGCUUUCCAGUUCCUGUAGGUCUUUUUGAUUCGUGCUUGGGCAUGCUCAAUUUGCGGUGUCUAGCUAUUGUGUUUGACCUUGAUGAGACCCUUAUAGUCGCUAACACUAUGAAGUCAUUUGAGGAUAGAAUUGAGACUCUUAGGACUUGGAUUGCACGCGAGACUGAUCCACUGAGGCUAUCUGGAAUGUCUGCUGAGUUGAAGCGGUAUAUGGAGGAUCGAAUGCUAUUGAAGCAAUACACUGACAGCGAUUAUGUUAUGGAUAAUGGAAAAAUGUUUAAGGUUCAACUAGAGGAGGUUCCACUACUCUCUGAAACCCACGAGAGACUUGUUAGGCCUGUGAUUAGAUUGCAAGAUAGGAAUAUUGUCCUCACUCGUAUCAAUCCUGAGAUUCGUGAUACUAGUGUACUUGUGAGGUUGAGGCCUGCAUGGGAGGAUUUACGAAGUUAUUUAACUGCAAAAGGACGCAAACGAUUUGAAGUUUAUGUUUGUACAAUGGCUGAAAGAGAUUAUGCCUUAGAAAUGUGGAGGCUUCUUGACCCAGAGUCACACCUGAUAUCUGCUAAACAACUGCCGGACCGUGUUGUUUGUGUUAGAUCAGGCUCCAGGAAAUCUUUGUCUAAUGUCUUCCAAGAUGGCAUGUGCCAUCCAAAGAUGGCAAUGGUAAUUGAUGAUCGGUCAAAGGUCUGGGAAGACAAGGAUCAACCACGAGUUCAUGUAGUUCCUGCAUUCACACCUUACUACGCUCCUCAGGCAGAGACAGCAAAUGCCGUUCCUAUCCUCUGUGUGGCGAGAAAUGUUGCUUGCAACGUCAGGGGUUGUUUUUUCAAAGAAUUUGAUGAGAAUUUAAUACGAAGAAUCUCUGAAGUCUUUUAUGAAGAUGAUGCUAGUAAUUUACCUCAUGCUCCUGAUGUGAGCAACUACAUGAUGUCAGAGGAUGCCGGUUUUGUACCCAACGGUUUUAAUAAUGCUCCCAUUAAUGAAGGCAUGAGUGGUGUUGAAGUUGAACAGAGAUUGAACCCAUUGGAUGAGAAGAAUGUUAUUAACCCAACUGGCCAUUGUAUGACAAAUAGUCUUGAGUUGAGAUCUGAAAUCUCCCAGUCACCUAUUGCAAUAAUUCCUAAUGUCGCUGGACCAAUGUCUUCGACAACACUCAUUCCUUCACAGAAACCUAGUUUGCUUGGAGCACCUGUGAGACGAGAUUUAAGAAAUCAAAAUUCAGGUCAGCCACCACUUCUGUCUAGGGUACCUGUGCCAAUACCAUCAUCCUCGGUACCUGCGCCAAUACCAUCAUCCUCGAUACCUGCACCAAUGCCAUCAUCCUCGGUACCUGUGCCAAUACCAUCAUCCUUGGUACCUGUGCCAAUACCAUCAUCCUUGGUACCUGCGCCAAUGCCAUCAUCCUCUAUACAGCCACAGGGAGGCUGGCUGAUGGAGGAAGAUAGCACCACAGCACAUCUAAAUAAUCGACCUUUAGGAUUUGCCAAGGAAAGUGAUUUGGUAAAACUUGAUAAACUGCGAUUAAUUCAGAAUCCAUUUUCUCAUAGUCCAACAGUGUCUACUUCCACAAGUUUAGUCUCACAUGCAUCACAAGUGAGGGGUGAAGAGGCAUUUGCUGGACAUGACAUGCAAAAACAAAGUCUUCCUCCUGGAAGUCAUCCAUCAGAGGUUGGCAUUUCUCAGAAUCCUGUAUCAUCUAAUAGUAAUAGCAGAGAUUUUCAACCUGAAGCUGUGAAAUUGAAUCUUCUACCAUCCCACUUGUCUAUUGGAGUGCUGCAAGAAAUUGGACGAAGAUGCAACUCAAAGGUGCAGGUUGAGUUCAGGUCUGUUGUAAGCACCAGUAAGGAUUUGCAAUUUUCUGUUGAGGUUUUGUUCACUGGUGAAAAGAUAGGUGUUGGAAUGGGUAAGACCAGGAAGGAUGCACAUCAGCAAGCUGCUGAGAAUGCCCUUCACAGCUUGGCAGAAAAAUAUGUUGCAUAUGUCGCACCUCAUUCUGGAGCUGUAGACCAUGAUUUCGAUAAGCUUUCCCUUGGGAAUGAGAAUGGAUUUCUAUGGGACAUUGUCAAUCCUGGAACAAGUGACGUCGUGCCAGAAGAUGGAUUGCCUAAAGAAUGUACUCCUGAGGAUACUGAAGUUGAACCUGCAAUAACUUCGUCUAAUUUUGUCAAUCAGCAACAACAGAAGCGUGCCAACUCCCCUCGAUUGCUACAGUCUGUUCCGAGUAAAAGAACAAAGGAAGAAUUAGCGCGUGGUUCGCAAAGUCUUCCAUUUUCACGGCAGCAGAAGAAUGGAAAUCAUGUUUCAUGAAAGCAAUGAAAAAAGAAGUGGUGACUGACUGAAGGUUUUUUGAGUUCUACAAUUCUGCAAUAUUUUAUUUAUGCAGAUUCUACGUAAUUGCAGUUAGCUUAGCUUCAACAUUUCGAAGGAAGUAACUGAGGGGAAUGCUGCCGUAUGCCUGCAACGAAGCAUGCCAAAAAAUAAAAAGAGAAAAUAUGACUGGCUGCCUAAAUUUCCAAUACAAAGGGCUUGCCAUCGAGCAACAUUUUUCCCCAUUAACAUCGUGGCAUGUGCUCUACCUCUACGCACUUUUAAUCAUCACCAGUAUGAUUGCUCCUCUACCAGACAUUUGAACGUGACAAUAUAUAUUCUCUGAAGUAUCUUGUCAUGCUAGAAAAUUCUUGUUUAUGAUAAUACAAUGUAUCACCCACUACACUGAUAUGGGAUGGGCUCACAUACAAGACAAUCUGAAAUUUCUGCAUUCUUUAAUUUCAGUGCAGAAAGAUAGCCUACUGAGAUCAGAGAUAGUUUCCUGUUGGUUAUAUACAUUUUCUUGAUUCCAUCCGA